rnacentral:siRNA from 1 species
UAUCAUACUUUCGGUAUUGC